rfam:Triticum urartu cultivar G1812 contig434554, whole genome shotgun sequence.
GUAGUACUCCCUCCGUCCGGAAAUACUUGUCGGACAAAUAAAUGUAGCUAGAUGUAUUUUAGUUGUAGAUACAUCUAUUUUUAUCCAUUUCUCCGACAAGCAUUUUGGGACGGAGGGAGUACAUU